UCCGGUUCAUCACCGGCAGUCUCUUUAGAGUCCCCACCAUUACGUGUUGGCAACUAAAGAUAAGGGUUGCGCUCGUUACGGGACUUAACCCAACAUCUCACAACACGAGCUGACGACAGCCAUGCAGCACCUGUCUCAUAGUUCCUUUCGGCACUUCCGCAUCUCUGCAGAAUCCUAUGGAUGUCAAGGGUAGGUAAGGUUCUUCGCGUUGCAUCGAAUUAAACCACAUGCUCCACCGCUUGUGCGGGCCCCCGUCAAUUCCUUUGAGUUUUAACCUUGCGGCCGUACUCCCCAGGCGGAGAACUUAUCGCGUUAGCUUCGAUACUAAUAGGUCAAGCCUACCAACAUCUAGUUCUCAUCGUUUACAGCGUGGACUAC
rnacentral:misc_RNA from 1 species